rnacentral:rRNA from 1 species
UACGUAGGAGGCAAGCGUUGUCCGGAGUUACUGGGCGUAAAGCGCACGCAGGCGGUCGCAUUAGUCUGGGGUGACAGUUCCCGGCUUAACCGGAAAAGGACUCUGGAAACUGUGCGACUUGAGGGCUUCAGAGGGAUGUGGAAUUCCAGGUGGAGUGGUGAAAUGCGUAGAUAUCGGAAGGAACACCUGUGGCGAAAGCGGCUCACUGGACCAUUACUGACGCUGAGGCACGAAAGCUAGGGGAGCAAACAGG